ensembl:lncRNA
GGACUAGACCAGGACUGAACCAGGACUGAACCAGGACUGAACCAGGACUGAACCAGGACUAAACCAGGACUGAACCAGGACUGAACCAGGACUAAACCAGGACUAAACCAGGACUGAACCAGGACUAAACUGGGUCUAAACCAGGACUAAACCAGGACUAAACCAGGACUAAACCGGGUCUAAACCGGGACUGAACCAGGACUAAACCAGGACUAAACCAGGACUGAACCAGGACUAAACUGGGUCUAAACCAGGACUAAACCAGAACUGAACCAGGACUAAACCAGGACUAAACUAGGACUAAACCGGGACUGAACCAGGACUAAACCAGGACUAAACCAGGACUAAACCAGGACUGAACCAGGACUGAACCAGGACUAAACCAGGACUAAACCGGGACUGAACCAGGACUGAACCAGGACUAAACCAGGACUAAACCAGGACUAAACCGGGUCUAAACCGGGACUAAACCAGGACUAAACCGGGUCUAAACCAGGACUAAACCAGGACUAAACCGGGUCUAAACCGGGACUAAACCAGGACUAAACCGGGUCUAAACCAGGACUAAACCAGGACUAAACCGGGUCUAAACCAGGACUAAACCAGGACUGAACCAGGACUAAACCAGGUCUAAACCAGGACUAAACCAGGACUGAACCAGGACUAAACCAGGACUAAACCAGGUCUAAACCAGGACUGAACC